UAAAAGUUUUUCCUCGUGUCCCUUAUUAAGAACUUUAACUAACAUUAGUUUUUAAUUUUUCCCAGAAAGUCUUAUAAAAUUCCAAAGUCAAGCCGUCAAGACCUGGUGAUUUAUUUAGCUUCAUCGUGUUUAUUGCACUGGUGCAUUCAUCUAUAGUUACUUCCCUAUCACAUUCUUUAAAGUCAUUAAUAUUUAUAUCUUUUUCCAUAAUAGUAUCAGCAACGUAUGAAUGUAACAAAUUUUU
rnacentral:lncRNA from 1 species